ACUUGGACUGGACAGAGCCUUCCUUUCCCUGGAGCUAUCUGGGUUGAGUUUUCAUCCAUCCUUCCUCAUUUGGAGCAGUGGCUAAUUCUCUUGACUUUGGAAGACCUCCUCACUGUUGCAUUUUGGGAAGCAAAGAUGUCUUGGGAGAUGGCUGUCUCUCCCAGAACUAUUCAAGGAAUAUGUGGGAAGAUACUCUAAAAAGCCAGAAACUUUUGUCCAAACAUGCUUUAACUUAAUUUUUCUCCCAGGAAGACCACCUGCUCUCAAGGAGCAACGAGCAGCAGCCCUGCAGGGCUCUUGCAAGGCCUUAGAGCCCCUAAUUGUCCUCAGCUGAGCCUGCCUUCUGGUAUAUAAGCUCCAGCUGAGGAGCAUAACUGGCUGUUGCUUCUCCUGCUUGGCUGCUGGGCUUCAUCUUGAGGAUGCCCUCAUCUUCAAGGCUGGCUUCAUGGCCACUGUCCUCUAUCACAUUGUGUGCUGGACUAACGGGUAUAUGAGGACAGGCUGAUCACCUUCCUGGUGGAAUACGGAAGUUAAAUACCGCAGGAGCUGUAACUGAGAGAAAUAUGCUUAAUCCUCUGGGGUCGGGAUCAGCUAGAGGCGUAAAUGACCCAGAAGAUUUGAUGUCAAACUGUUGAAGUUACAUAAAGGGAAAAGAAAAAGAAAUAAAAUAUCACCUAUAAUUGACCCAAAUGAAACCAUGCCCUGGGUGAAGUGCUACCCUGCUGCCUUCUGCAUGUGCAGAGCUCCUUGCCUAUGUGGGUCUCCUGUUUACAGGGCUGAAAGCUCACACGGGAGGGAGCAAAGAUUGGGGUGGCAUGAGAACCUAAACAGCUCUGAGGACUUUUGCUGGUUACUUUAUAUUGGCAUGAAACCUCAGUUCGCCCCAUUCCACUUCUGGAUUACUCAUUUCCAAACUAUUUCUUGUACCCCGGUGCAAUGGAGGAUCGGUCUCAGAAUUUUUAAAGUUCAUUUGAAACUUUAUGAGAAGGAAAUCAAGACAAAGAGGAAGGAAAUAGGAUGGUGACAUUUUGAACUGAUGAUUAACUCAGCAGAAUUACAGUGGACCAGCUGACAUUUUCUUACCGUGCUGUCUGGGAGACCUGCCAGUGUGGAAUUAUAUUAGUCAAUGUGUGAGCUGACAAGAUGUGUGGUCUUGUGUUUGCAAGAGAGAACAAGAUUUAGAUUGCAGAUAGAAGCCUUUGUCACCUUAUUCCAAUGUGAAUCAAAAGAUAAAUGGGAGUCCUUUUAUAAAGACCAAUUAGUUUUUCUCCAAUUAACACAGGAAUUAUUGUCAUAAGCUUUGCAGAAUAGUUGAUACCAUUAUGAACAUCUCCAGUUUUCUAGGAAUCAAGUAAUUAACAACAGUUGGUUUUAAUAAUCUGAGUCUGGAAGAGCCACAAAUGCUGAAGCAAAAGAAAUAUUAGCUGUGAGUGGAGAGCAAAGAAACUGGUCCUCACUUUCACAGAAAU